UUGGGGAUUUCCAUUCUUUACAAGGGGCACAUGUGUUCUCUUUUCAUUUAGUACUAGGCAUCAACAGUGGGUAUGUGGUCCUGACCUGGCAAUGUAUUGAAACCUCUGAUCUAAGGAAACAACCAUGACUUUGGUACUUGUGCAAUGAUAAAUCACAUUCAACAUGUGUUUCCUAUUCGAAAAGUGAUGCCAGUUUAAGAAGAGCAGCAGGUUUCUACUCAACUUCCACUGGCCUAAAUACCAACUUCAAUUAUCUCAUAUUGCUUCAAAAGCCA
rnacentral:lncRNA from 1 species